CUUGGCGCAAUGGAUAGCGCGUCGGACUUCUAAAUCUCUCGGUUGUGAAUCACAUCCGAAGGUUGUGGGUUCAAGUCCCACAG
rnacentral:tRNA from 1 species